AUACGUAGGUGGCGAGCGUUGUCCGGAAUUACUGGGCGUAAAGGGCGCGUAGGCGGCCUGUCAAGUCAGAUGUGAAAUCCCCGGGCUUAACCCGGGAACUGCAUUUGAAACUGGCGGGCUUGAGGGCAGGAGAGGAAAGCGGAACUCCCAGUGUAGCGGUGAAAUGCGUAGAUAUUGGGAGGAACACCAGUGGCGAAGGCGGCUUUCUGGACUGUCACUGACGCUGAGGCGCGAAAGCCAGGGGAGCGAACGGGAUUAGAUACCCCGGUAGUCCUGGCUGUAAACGAUGGGUACUAGGUGUUGGGGGUAUCGACCCCUCCAGUGCCGCAGUUAACGCAUUAAGUACCCCGCCUGGGGAGUACGUGCGCAAGCAUGAA
rnacentral:rRNA from 1 species